GAUGAACGCUGGCGGCGUGCCUAAUACAUGCAAGUCGAGCGAACAGAUGAGGAGCUUGCUCCUCUGACGUUAGCGGCGGACGGGUGAGUAACACGUGGAUAACCUACCUAUAAGACUGGGAUAACUUCGGGAAACCGGAGCUAAUACCGGAUAAUAUAUUGAACCGCAUGGUUCAAUAGUGAAAGACGGUUUUGCUGUCACUUAUAGAUGGAUCCGCGCCGCAUUAGCUAGUUGGUAAGGUAACGGCUUACCAAGGCAACGAUGCGUAGCCGACCUGAGAGGGGGAUGGCACAAAAGGGAAAGAGGACACGGGCCAGACCCCAAGGGGGGGAAGGAGGGGGGAAGCUGCCGCAAGGGGCGAAAGCCGGAGGGAGCAAGCCCGGGGGAGGGAGGAGGGUCUGCGGAUCGAAAACACUUGUUUUGGGGGAAAAACAAAUGGUGAAGUAACAAGGGCCGUUUGGACGGUACCUAACAAGAAAGCCGCGGCAAACUACGG
rnacentral:rRNA from 1 species